rnacentral:rRNA from 1 species
GAUGAACGCUGGCGGCGUGCCUAAUACAUGCAAGUCGAGCGAACAGACGAGGAGCUUGCUCCUUUGACGUUAGCGGCGGACGGGUGAGUAACACGUGGGUAACCUACCUAUAAGACUGGGAUAACUUCGGGAAACCGGAGCUAAUACCGGAUAAUAUUUCGAACCGCAUGGUUCGAUAGUGAAAGAUGGCUUUGCUAUCACUUAUAGAUGGACCUGCGCCGUAUUAGCUAGUUGGUAAGGUAACGGCUUACCAAGGCAACGAUACGUAGCCGACCUGAGAGGGUGAUCGGCCACACUGGAACUGAGACACGGUCCAGACUCCUACGGGAGGCAGCAGUAGGGAAUCUUCCGCAAUGGGCGAAAGCCUGACGGAGCAACGCCGCGUGAGUGAUGAAGGUCUUCGGAUCGUAAAACUCUGUUAUUAGGGAAGAACAAACGUGUAAGUAACUGUGCACGUCUUGACGGUACCUAAUCAGAAAGCCACGGCCAACUACGUG